AGAGUUUGAUCCUGGCUCAGGAUGAACGCUAGCGGCAGGCUUAACACAUGCAAGUCGAGGGGCAGCGGGGAGGAAGCUUGCUUUCUCCGCCGGCGACCGGCGCACGGGUGAGUAACACGUAUGCAACCUGCCCCUGUCAGGGGGACAACCCGCCGAAAGGCGGGCUAAACCCGCGUACAUGCCACCGGGGCAUCCCGGAGGCAGGAAAGGCUUCGGCCGGACAGGGAUGGGCAUGCGGCGCAUUAGGCAGUAGGCGGGGUAACGGCCCACCUAACCGACGAUGCGUAGGGGUUCUGAGAGGAAGGUCCCCCACACUGGUACUGAGACACGGACCAGACUCCUACGGGAGGCAGCAGUGAGGAAUAUUGGUCAAUGGUCGGGAGACUGAACCAGCCAAGCCGCGUGAGGGAGGAAGGUACAGAGUAUCGUAAACCUCUUUUGUCAGGGAACAAAGACUGGGACGCGUCCCCGGAUGAGUGUACCUGAAGAAAAAGCAUCGGCUAACUCCGUGCCAGCAGCCGCGGUAAUACGGAGGAUGCGAGCGUUAUCCGGAUUUAUUGGGUUUAAAGGGUGCGCAGGCGGUCUGUUAAGUCAGCGGUCAAAGCCCGGGGCUCAACCCCGGCCCGCCGUUGAAACUGGCAGUCUCGAGUUGGAGAGAAGUAUGCGGAAUGCGCGGUGUAGCGGUGAAAUGCAUAGAUAUCGCGCAGAACUCCGAUUGCGAAGGCAGCAUGCCGGCUCCACACUGACGCUGAGGCACGAAAGCGUGGGUAUCGAACAGGAUUAGAUACCCUGGUAGUCCACGCAGUAAACGAUGAAUGCUGGCUGUCCGGGGGGACUGACCCCUGGGUGGCGAAGCGAAAGCGAUAAGCAUUCCACCUGGGGAGUACGCCGGCAACGGUGAAACUCAAAGGAAUUGACGGGGGCCCGCACAAGCGGAGGAACAUGUGGUUUAAUUCGAUGAUACGCGAGGAACCUUACCCGGGCUCAAACGGGGAGUGGCGCAGGCAGAGACGCCUGUUUCCCACGGGACACUCCCCGAGGUGCUGCAUGGUUGUCGUCAGCUCGUGCCGUGAGGUGUCGGCUUAAGUGCCAUAACGAGCGCAACCCCCGCGUGCAGUUGCUAACAGUCAACGCUGAGGACUCUGCACGGACUGCCGGCGCAAGCCGCGAGGAAGGCGGGGAUGACGUCAAAUCAGCACGGCCCUUACGUCCGGGGCGACACACGUGUUACAAUGGGUGGUACAGCGGGAAGCCAGGCGGCGACGCCGAGCGGAACCCGAAAUCCACUCUCAGUUCGGAUUGGAGUCUGCAACCCGACUCCGUGAAGCUGGAUUCGCUAGUAAUCGCGCAUCAGCCAUGGCGCGGUGAAUACGUUCCCGGGCCUUGCACUCACCGCCCGUCA
rnacentral:rRNA from 1 species